AGAAUCAACGCUGGCGGCGUGCCUAACACAUGCAAGUCGAACGAGAAAGUGGAGCAAUCCACGAGUAAAGUGGCGCACGGGUGAGUAACACGUGACUAACCUACCCUUGAGUGGGGGAUAACCUAGGGAAACCUGGGCUAAUACCGCAUAAUACCUACGGGUCAAAGGAGCAAUUCGCUUAAGCGAGGGGUCGCGGCCGAUUAGUUAGUUGGCGGGGUAAUGGCCCACCAAGACGAUGAUCGGUAU
rnacentral:rRNA from 1 species